UACGUAGGGGGCAAGCGUUGUCCGGAUUUAUUGGGCGUAAAGAGCGUGUAGGCGGUUUUACAAGUCCGCUGUGAAAACUCGAGGCUCAACCUCGAGCUGUCGGUGGAAACUGUAAGGCUAGAGUCCGGAAGAGGAGAGUGGAAUUCCUGGUGUAGCGGUGAAAUGCGCAGAUAUCAGGAAGAACACCGAUGGCGAAGGCAGCUCGCUGGGACGGUACUGACGCUGAGGCGCGAAAGCGUGGGGAGCAAACAGG
rnacentral:rRNA from 1 species